UACGUAGGGGGCAAGCGUUGUCCGGAAUCAUUGGGCGUAAAGGGCGCGUAGGCGGCCUUCUAAGUCGAACGUGAAAUCCCUGGGCUCAACCCAGGAACUGCGUCCGAUACUGGAAGGCUUGAAUCCGGGAGAGGGAUGCGGAAUUCCAGGUGUAGCGGUGAAAUGCGUAGAUAUCUGGAGGAACACCGGUGGCGAAGGCGGCAUCCUGGACCGGCAUUGACGCUGAGGCGCGGAAGCCAGGGGAGCAAACGGG
rnacentral:rRNA from 1 species